GCCGCCUUAGCUCAUCUGGGAGAGCGUAAGACUGAAGAUCUUAAGGUAGCGUGUUCGAUCCACGCAGGCGGCA
rfam:Rhizoclosmatium globosum strain JEL800 BCR33scaffold_180, whole genome shotgun sequence.